AGCAGCCGCGGUAAUUCCAGCUCCAAUAGCGUAUAUUAAAGUUGUUGCAGUUAAAAGCUCGUAGUUGAAUUUCGGGAUCAAUAUGUUGGUCGUGCCUCGGUACGUACUAGCAUAUUGGUUCCUCCUUUCUGAAGAACCAUGAUGUCAUUUAUUUGGUGUCGUGGGGAAUCAGGACUGUUACUUUGAAAAAAUUAGAGUGUUUAAAGCAGGCUCACGCUUGAAUACAUUAGCAUGGAAUAAUGAAAUAGGACGUUUGAUUCUAUUUUGUUGGUUUCUAGGAUCGACGUAAUGAUUAAUAGGGAUAGUUGGGGGCAUUAGUAUUCAAUUGUCAGAGGUGAAAUUCUUGGAUUUAUUGAAGACUAACUACUGCGAAAGCAUUUGCCAAGGAUGUUUUCAUUAAUCAAGAACGAAAGUUAGGGGAUCGAAGACGAUCAGAUACCGUCGUAGUCUUAACCAUAAACUAUGCCGACUAGGGAUCGGAUGAUGUUAAUUUUUUAA
rnacentral:misc_RNA from 1 species